AGCAGGGUGGCGCAGUGGAAGCGUCCUUGGCUCAUAACCCCAGAAGUCGGUGAAUCAAAACCACUCGCUGCUA
rnacentral:tRNA from 1 species